GAGCUUGGCGGUGUUUUAGACCUCUCAGGGGAACCUGUCUCAUAAUCGACAAUCCACGUUAAACCUAACCUUUGAUGGCAAUUCAGCCUGUAUACCGUUGUCGUCAGGUAACUUCUUAAAAUACAGUAGUUAGCUUGAGAAUUUUAUUAAUUAGAACGUCAAAUCAAGGUGCAGCUAAUGAAAAGGUGAGGAUGGGUUACAAUUACAUAUUUGUAAGUACGGAAAACAUUUGAAAGAAUGAUUAAAGGAGGACUUGAAAGUAAUUUUGAUUAUAUAAACGAAAUGAAUGAGGCUCUGAAACGUGCACACAUCGCCCGUCGCUCUCGUUGAAAAAUGAGAUAAGUCGUAACAUAGUAGGGGUAAUGGAAAUUGUUCCUAGGC
rnacentral:rRNA from 1 species